AUUGAACGCUGGCGGCAUGCUUUACACAUGCAAGUCGAACGGCAGCGGGGAGGUGCUUGCUUCUCUGCCGGCGAGUGGCGCACGGGUGAGUAAUACAUCGGAACGUGUCGAGAAGAGGGGGAUAACCACCCGAAAGGGUGGCUAAUACCGCAUAAAUUCUGAGGAAGAAAGCUGGUGACCUAGGAAUAGGCCUCGCGCUUUUUGAGCGGCCGAUGUCGGAUUAGCUAGUUGGUGAGGUAAAGGCUCACCAAGGCGAAGAUCUGUAGCGGGUCUGAGAGGAUGAUCCGCCACACGGGGACGGAGACACGGCCCAGACGCCUACGGGAGGCAGCAGUGGGGAAUUUUGGACAAUGGGGGCAACCCUGAUCCAGCCAUGCCGCGUGUAUGAAGAAGGCCUUAGGGUUGUAAAGUACUUUUGUUAGGGAAGAAAAGUCAGCUGUGAAUAAUGGCUGAUACUGACGGUACCUAAAGAAUAAGCACCGGCUAACUACGUG
rnacentral:rRNA from 1 species